CGAUGACCGUUCCUCCUGCUGCCCCAAGAACCGGCUCCAGGAUUUUGUGUCAUCGCAGAUAAACCAUGGCUUUAUUCACUCAGCGUGCGGGGACAGUGGAUUGUCCGUCCGCUCUCUGGAUUUUGCGGAGUCAGACACAC